UACGAAGGGGGCUAGCGUUGUUCGGAAUUACUGGGCGUAAAGCGUGCGCAGGCGGCCUUCCAAGUCAGGGGUGAAAGCCCAGAGCUCAACUCUGGAAUUGCCUUUGAGACUGUGAGGCUUGAGUACGGGAGAGGUGAGUGGAAUUCCCAGUGUAGAGGUGAAAUUCGUAGAUAUUGGGAAGAACACCGGUGGCGAAGGCGGCUCACUGGCCCGAAACUGACGCUCAUGCACGACAGCGUGGGGAUCAAACGGG
rnacentral:rRNA from 1 species